AGCUACUAACUAAUACGUCUGCCUUGAAAGCAAAUAAAGGAGAUACCUCCAGUAGCUA
rnacentral:tRNA from 1 species